rnacentral:lncRNA from 1 species
GGGGGCUCGGUCUUUCUAACCCUAAGCGGAACGUGGCCCCUCCCCGCCGCAGCCGUCCGCUGUUUUACUCGCUGACUUUCAGCGGGCGGGGGGAGCGGGCGGAGACACCAACCAAAAAACGUCAGCGAGGGGCCCUCCCCUCCCACGCCGACCUGGGCCGGUGUGGGGCCCGCCAGGGAAGUCCCCGCCGCCCCGCCCUGGUGAGGCCGCGGUCAGCCGGUUCGCGCCACUGCUGCCGCGAAGAGUUCGUCUCUGUCAGCCUCGGGGGCGGCCGGGGUGGAAGGGCGGGUCCCGUGCGGGUCGGCCGGGAGAGCAAACGUGAGUGGCGGCCCCUGCGCAACCGCCCUCCCCGAGCUGUGGGGCCCGCGGUCGGGGCUGCUCUCAGACACGCCGAGCCGGGGGCGGAGGAGGCGGGGCUGGCCAGUGCCGAGAAUGAUUUCCUGCCAGUUAAAAGUAAGCAGGGAACAGCUCAAGGUACAUCUAUUUAGUCUUAUUUAACAUGCCUUUUUGUCAAACAAAUCUGGCACUAGAUGAAAUAAUUAC